UACGGAGGGUGCAAGCAUUGAUCGGAAUUACUGGGCGUAAAGGGCGCGUAGGCGGUCAGACCAGUCAGAUGUGAAAUUCCGGGGCUCAACCCCGGAGCAGCAUUUGAAACUAUUUGACUAGAGUUCAGUUAGGGAAAACGGAAUUCCACGUGUAGCGGUGAAAUGCGUAGAUAUGUGGAAGAACACCGGUGGUGAAGACGGUUUUCUGGGCUGAAACAGACGCUGAGGCGCGAAAGCUAGGGGAGCAAACGGG
rnacentral:rRNA from 1 species